rnacentral:piRNA from 1 species
UGGUGCUGAACGGUGGACACUGUGAAUCUA